UGUUGGAUGAUGAGAAAAAUCAGACGGAUUCCCUAUGAUAUUUUGCCAAGCAAAAUAUGUGACAUCAUGUCCAGCUACUUCUGACAACA